rnacentral:rRNA from 1 species
CCACCACCAAAGCAUUUGCUGUACCGCGUUGACGGAGCGAAGCGACGUCAAACCGAUAAAACAGCAGUGUAAAGUGAGCCGCAGGGCGCUUUGCGCGACAGCGCAAAGGCAGGCGGUUUCGCGUAGCGAAAGCGAAUGCUUUGGGGUGGGGUGACUGCGUACCUUUUGUAUAAUGGGUCAGCGACUUAUAUUCUGUAGCAAGGUUAACCGAAUAGGGGAGCCGGAGGGAAACCGAGUCUUAAUUGGGCGUUAAGUUGCAGGGUAUAGACCCGAAACCCGGUGAUCUAGCCAUGGGCAGGUUGAAGGUUGGGUAACACUAACUGGAGGACCGAACCGACUAAUGUUGAAAAAUUAGCGGAUGACCUGUGGCUGGGGGUGAAAGGCCAAUCAAACCGGGAGAUAGCUGGUUCUCCCCGAAAGCUAUUUAGGUAGCGCCUCGUGAAUUCAUCUCCGGGGGUAGAGCACUGUUUCGGCUAGGGGGCCAUCCCGGCUUACCAACCCGAUGCAAACUGCGAAUACCGGAGAAUGUUAUCACGGGAGACACACGGCGGGUGCUAACGUCCGUCGUGAAGAGGGAAACAACCCAGACCGCCAGCUAAGGUCCCAAAGUCAUGGUUAAGUGGGAAACGAUGUGGGAAGGCCCAGACAGCCAGGAUGUUGGCUUAGAAGCAGCCAUCAUUUAAAGAAAGCGUAAUAGCUCACUGGUCGAGUCGGCCUGCGCGGAAGAUGUAACGGGGCUAAACCAUGCACCGAAGCUGCGGCAGCGACACUGUGUGUUGUUGGGUAGGGGAGCGUUCUGUAAGCCUGUGAAGGUGUGUCGUGAGGCAUGCUGGAGGUAUCAGAAGUGCGAAUGCUGACAUAAGUAACGAUAAAGCGGGUGAAAAGCCCGCUCGCCGGAAGACCAAGGGUUCCUGUCCAACGUUAAUCGGGGCAGGGUGAGUCGACCCCUAAGGCGAGGCCGAAAGGCGUAGUCGAUGGGAAACGGGUUAAUAUUCCCGUACUUGGUGUUACUGCGAAGGGGGGACGGAGAAGGCUAUGUUGGCCGGGCGACGGUUGUCCCGGUUUAAGCGUGUAGGCUGGUUUUCCAGGCAAAUCCGGAAAAUCAAGGCUGAGGCGUGAUGACGAGGCACUACGGUGCUGAAGCAACAAAUGCCCUGCUUCCAGGAAAAGCCUCUAAGCAUCAGGUAACAUCAAAUCGUACCCCAAACCGACACAGGUGGUCAGGUAGAGAAUACCAAGGCGCUUGAGAGAACUCGGGUGAAGGAACUAGGCAAAAUGGUGCCGUAACUUCGGGAGAAGGCACGCUGACACGUAGGUGAAGUGAUUUACUCAUGGAGCUGAAGUCAGUCGAAGAUACCAGCUGGCUGCAACUGUUUAUUAAAAACACAGCACUGUGCAAACACGAAAGUGGACGUAUACGGUGUGACGCCUGCCCGGUGCCGGAAGGUUAAUUGAUGGGGUCAGCGCAAGCGAAGCUCCUGAUCGAAGCCCCGGUAAACGGCGGCCGUAACUAUAACGGUCCUAAGGUAGCGAAAUUCCUUGUCGGGUAAGUUCCGACCUGCACGAAUGGCGUAAUGAUGGCCAGGCUGUCUCCACCCGAGACUCAGUGAAAUUGAACUCGCUGUGAAGAUGCAGUGUACCCGCGGCAAGACGGAAAGACCCCGUGAACCUUUACUAUAGCUUGACACUGAACAUUGAGCCUUGAUGUGUAGGAUAGGUGGGAGGCUUUGAAGUGUGGACGCCAGUCUGCAUGGAGCCGACCUUGAAAUACCACCCUUUAAUGUUUGAUGUUCUAACGUGGACCCGUUACCCGGGUUGCGGACAGUGUCUGGUGGGUAGUUUGACUGGGGCGGUCUCCUCCUAAAGAGUAACGGAGGAGCACGAAGGUUGGCUAAUCCUGGUCGGACAUCAGGAGGUUAGUGCAAUGGCAUAAGCCAGCUUGACUGCGAGCGUGACGGCGCGAGCAGGUGCGAAAGCAGGUCAUAGUGAUCCGGUGGUUCUGAAUGGAAGGGCCAUCGCUCAACGGAUAAAAGGUACUCCGGGGAUAACAGGCUGAUACCGCCCAAGAGUUCAUAUCGACGGCGGUGUUUGGCACCUCGAUGUCGGCUCAUCACAUCCUGGGGCUGAAGUAGGUCCCAAGGGUAUGGCUGUUCGCCAUUUAAAGUGGUACGCGAGCUGGGUUUAGAACGUCGUGAGACAGUUCGGUCCCUAUCUGCCGUGGGCGCUGGAGAACUGAGGGGGGCUGCUCCUAGUACGAGAGGACCGGAGUGGACGCAUCACUGGUGUUCGGGUUGUCAUGCCAAUGGCACUGCCCGGUAGCUAAAUGCGGAAGAGAUAAGUGCUGAAAGCAUCUAAGCACGAAACUUGCCCCGA